AUGAAGUAUUGCACAACCCAACAUUGUCCAAGGAUCCUUAAAAAAUUAGAGAUAUACAAACAAAUGAGUACAUUCUACACACCAACUUGGUCAGGGGGGCCUAAAUAUCAGGUAGUAGGCCCUGAUGGGCAGUUUGUUGUUGAUAAAGAAGAAGGGAGAUGUUCUUGUAGGGUUUGGCAAUUAAAUGGACUGCCAUGUAGUCAUGCAGUAACAGUCAUAUAUUAUAACAAUGAGAGACCUGAAACCUAUAUCAAUCAAUGCUAUAGUGUGAGCACAUACUUAUCAACAUAUGGGCACACCUUAAACCCAACCCAUGGCAGGGAUCACUGGCCCAAGAGUGACCAAGGACCAAUGACACCACCAUUGGCAAUCAACAAGAAAAAAGGUAGGAGGACAAUGUUGAGAAGGAAAGAAUUUGGUGAAGAAGUGAGAGGCUUCACAAAUGGGAAGGUGAGCAAAAGAGGAGGCCAUGUUAGAUGUGGCUUAUGUGGUGACAAAGGCCACAAUAGAAGAUUUCAUACUAAACAUGCUAAUAGGGGUAAUACAACUGGGAGUCAAGCUGAGGUUGGCAUUGGGUAGGACAGACAUGGUGAUAAUGAAAAUGCAACUGCAGAGAUGAGCCAAACUCCAGUUGAAACAGUUGAAUUAAUUCAAUCAAGUCACCCACAUGGAUCACAAGAUCCUUUGUCACAGGUAAUUUCCACACCUGAGCUUCAUGGGAGGACAAUGGUUGAGGGUGACGACAGUCACAAAGAGAAAAAAUUGGCCACUAAAGGAGGUAAAGGGGCUGAAACUAGAGCUAGGUCAAGAGCCCAUCUGACUCACAGGGGUAAUGAUGGAGGGCCUUCAAAAAAAAAAUAGAGUUUGGCUUCCUUGAAAGGAAGGUUUUAUAUUUUUUGUCCUGGGAAAGUUUUGUAAUGGCAACACUUUAAUUAAUUCCUAGGUGUUUAU